CGAAAUAUAGCAUAUAUUAAUGCUCUUUACUUACACUAAAGAUAAGACGUCGUUUAUUUCGCCU
rnacentral:tRNA from 1 species